AUGGCAAAGCCCCGCAAGAACUCUGCCGCCGCCGCCGCCGCCGCGGCGGCGAACAGCAACGCCAGCGCGGCCGCCGACGCGGGGGCCGACGUGCGCGCCAAGCCCAAGAAGCGCACGCGGAAGAGCGUGCCCCGCGAGUCCCCCUCCCAGCGCAGCUCCGUCCACCGCGGCGUCACACGGCACCGGUGGACGGGGAGGUUCGAGGCGCACCUGUGGGACAAGAACAGCUGGAACGAGUCGCAGAACAAGAAGGGCAAGCAAGUUUACCUCGGGGCGUAUGACGAGGAGGAGGCCGCGGCCCGGGCGUACGACCUGGCGGCAUUGAAGUACUGGGGCCCCGACACCAUCCUCAACUUCCCGCUGUCUAUAUACGAAGAGGAGUUGAAAGAAAUGGAGGGACAAUCAAGGGAAGAGUAUAUUGGGUCCCUGAGGAGGAAAAGCAGUGGUUUCUCACGAGGGGUCUCCAAGUACCGCGGUGUCGCAAGGCAUCAUCACAACGGGAGAUGGGAGGCCCGGAUUGGCCGUGUGUUCGGCAACAAGUACCUCUACCUCGGCACCUACGCGACGCAGGAGGAGGCGGCGAUGGCGUACGACAUGGCGGCGAUCGAGUACCGCGGCCUCAACGCGGUCACCAACUUCGACCUCAGCCGCUACAUCAAGUGGCUCCGCCCGGGCGCCGCCGACGUGGCGGCCGGCGCCGGCCGGAGCGCGCACCCGAUGCUGGCCGGCCUCGCGGCGCAGGAGCUCCCCGCGAUCGACCUCGACGCCAUGGCGUUCCAGCACGACCUCCACCAGCAGGGCAUGGAGGACGGCAUGGCUGCGGAGGCGGCGGCGGCCGCGGCGGGGACGGCGCAGUUCCCGCUGCUGCCGGCCAGGGCGUCCACGCUCGGUCACACGCCCACCACGUCCGCGCUCAGCCUGCUGCUGCAGUCGCCCAAGUUCAAGGAGAUGAUCGAGCGGACGUCGGCCGCCGAGAGCAGCACCACCACGUCCUCCUCGUCCAUGUCCACGCCCCCGCCGCCGCAGGCCACCAGGGACGACGGCGCCUCGCCGCAGUGCAGCUUCCCGGAGGACAUCCAGACCUUCUUCGGCAGCGACGACGGCGUGGCCUACACCGACGUCGACGGCCUCUUCUUCGGGGACCUGUCCGCCUACGCGUCGCCGGCGUUCCAGUUCGAGCUGGACUUGUGA
rnacentral:rRNA from 1 species